rfam:Oryctolagus cuniculus unplaced genomic scaffold chrTn0020, whole genome shotgun sequence.
GGUGCUGUGGUGCAGUGGGUUAACACCUUGGCCUGAAGUGCCAGCAUCCCAUAUGCGUGCAGGUUCAAGACCUGGCUGCUCCA